rnacentral:lncRNA from 9 species
UGGGAGUAACCUACCUCAGAGCAGGAGACCCCAGGGGCAGUUAGGAUGAGCUGAUACAGGAGACUGGGGCGGGGGUGAGGCGGCAGACAGGGCUCCAGCCUGCCCUGAAAGCACCUAGAGAAACCUGCACAGCUACAACCCUCGCUCACGCCCUCGAAAGCGCCCACCACCUGCCUCCUCCCAUGGAGAGCACGUCCCUGCUCUUGAGCUUUGCGUGGAUGGUCUGGCUGCCUCUCCCAUCGCACGACUGCCACCACGCCUCCCGUCCAGGCCCCUGGGCUCCCAGGUCUCAGCGAAGGCAGGACAGGCAGACACGUGGGCACCGGGCAGGCCAGCCGGCUGAGGUGGGGGUACUCUGCUACCCAUCCCAGGUGAGCAUGUGGCCAGGGGCCGGCAGCAGGGCUGAGACGGGAGGGGAGUGGCUGUCCCGCACAGUGGGCAGCUCCGUGAGGCCCGAGCAGGACUGAUGGCCGGAGCCCACGUGGACCUAAACAGCCAGUAACCAGGAACAUGGCCCUGGUACAUUCGAUCCAUCACCAGGCUCAGGGUUUGGUGACGUGGGGUGGGGGGGGGGGGGUUGGGUGAUGGCAAAUGACCCUUAAGAAUUAAAUUUGAUUUGCAGUAAAGCCCUGAUCCCGAAUUCAUGCCCAAGGGGGACAGGAAGCCGGCCAGGGCGUGACUGCGGUGACUAUGGAGGGAGGGUCUCGUUGUGACGUGGGAGGGGUGAGGCUCUGCCCGAGCCAGAGGGGACCACGCGCCCCUCUUCCAAAGUCUCGUCUCAGGCGGAUGAGCCAUCCAAUUGAACUCGCUGCGAAGCACGGCUCACUUUGAAGCCCAUGCACUACCUGGCUGGACCGACCUGCCCUUUGCCCGGUGACCAGCCAGGAAGAGUCCAAGGUGGAAAAGUAACGAAAGCCACCUGAGCCAGGAAGCUGCACUUCCCUGCCUGUUCCCCGGGCCACGCUGCUACCCAAGCCGGGUCACAGUUAGGAGGUCAGCGGCCUUGACCCCCACCCAGCCCGAUAAAGGAUCAUGUCCCCCCCACCGCCGGGGCCUUGGUUUCUGAGCAAGUCAGCCUGCGGAACCUGGAGGGUCUUUGAGGGGACGAACUCAGGGAGGCUCGGCAGAGGGGGUUACAGGACCUUCCCGGUAGCUCCUCCCCCCAACCCGCUCAGAUUUCCUGAGACCCUCCAACCACCAGGGACACAACUGCCCAGCAGCAAAGAGCCAAGGAGAGUCCAGUGAGACCUCCCCUCCCUGCAGAGGGGGCUUGGGGCCUGGAGGAGGCUGCUGGGGAGGGAGGCUGAUUUUCCCGUUGGAAAGGAGGUUUUCCUGGUGGAAGAGCCAGGGUGUGGCAGGGCCCAGGCGCCACGGGGACCAUUCUGGAGCUGCCCAGGCCAGGGGCUUCACUUCCAGCUCCUGGAGAUCCCCAAACAGCUGCUCUUCACCGCACUUACCCAUAGAAGUCAUGC